rnacentral:rRNA from 1 species
UGGGGAAUAUUGGGCAAUGGGCGCAAGCCUGACCCAGCAACGCCGCGUGAAGGAAGAAGGCCCUCGGGUUGUAAACUUCUUUUGUCGGGGACGAAGAAAGUGACGGUACCCGACGAAUAAGCCACGGCUAACUACGUGCCAGCAGCCGCGGUAAUACGUAGGUGGCAAGCGUUAUCCGGAUUUACUGGGUGUAAAGGGCGUGUAGGCGGGAUGGUAAGUCAGAUGUGAAAACUCAGGGCUCAACCCUGAGCCUGCAUUUGAAACUAUCGUUCUUGAGUGAUGGAGAGGCAGGCGGAAUUCCGUGUGUAGCGGUGAAAUGCGUAGAUAUACGGAGGAACACCAGUGGCGAAGGCGGCCUGCUGGACAUUAACUGACGCUGAGGCGCGAAAGCGUGGGGAGCAAACAGG